UACGUAGGGGGCUAGCGUUGUCCGGAAUCAUUGGGCGUAAAGCGCGUGUAGGCGGUUCGGUAAGUCCGCUGUGAAAGUCGGGGGCUCAACCCUCGAAUGCCGGUGGAUACUGUCGGACUAGAGUACGGAAGAGGCAGGUGGAAUUCCUGGUGUAGCGGUGAAAUGCGCAGAUAUCAGGAGGAACACCAAUUGCGAAGGCAGCUCGCUGGGACGUUACUGACGCUGAGGAGCGAAAGCGUGGGGAGCGAACAGG
rnacentral:rRNA from 1 species